GGCGCCGGCGCCGGGGCUUCCUUCUAGGUUGGUCGGAGGUCGGGUGAGGUGAGAACCAGCCCUGGUGGCACACAGCGUGUGAUGGUGGCCAUGGCGAGGAAGGAGGAUGGGCCGUCGAGCCGCGUGCCUCACCUCCCGUGGAUGCGGAACCCCGUCGACAUCGACUCCUUCUCCGGUUGCCCCGUCGCGCAUCUCCCCCGCCUCGAUCCCAGGUUGGUGGAGGCAUUGCAGAGAAUGGGGAUAGAAUCAUUUUUUCCAGUUCAAGUAGCAGCAUGGUUGGAAACAAUUGGUCCUGGUGCUUUUGAGAGGGAUAUCUGUGUUAACUCCCCAACUGGAUCUGGCAAGACUCUUGCUUAUGCUUUGCCGAUCGUUCAAAUGCUUGCUACUCGGAAAGUAAGGUGCUUGCGCGCUUUGGUUGUGCUACCUACAAGGGAUUUAGCCUUGCAGGUUAAAGAGGUUUUUGAUGGUAUUGCUCCUGUGGUGGGCUUGUCAGUAGGCUCAGCGGUUGGUCAAUCAUCAAUAGCAGAUGAAAUUUCAGAUCUUAUCGAGAUGUCUAAAGGAGGGCUUUACCCAACUCUUGAUGAAGAAUUUAUCCAAAUGGAACCACAGACUAAAGUUGAUAUAUUGGUGGCAACUCCUGGAAGACUGAUGGAUCAUAUCAACAUGACAAAAGGUUUCAGCCUGGAGCAUCUUCAAUAUCUGGUGGUUGAUGAAACAGACAGGAUGUUGAGAGAAGCUUAUCAGUCCUGGUUGCCAACGGUUAUCCAGCUUACUCGCUCGACUAAUCAAAACCAUUCCUGGUGUGAUACUAAUGGAAAAACUAUACUGCAUCCAUUGACCACCAUUAGAAGAUCGGGCAUUGAGCGUGGGUUUAAAGGAAAAUGCUUUCCAAGAUUGGCAAAGAUAAUUUUAUCUGCCACACUGACUCAAGAUCCUAGCAAGCUUUCACAACUUGAGUUGCACCAUCCCUUGCUGUUGAAUAGUGGAAAGAAACGUUACAGAAUUCCAACAAAGCUUCAGUCCUACAAGCUGGUCUGUAAAUCAAAUUUAAAACCAUUAUCUCUGAUUGUUCUUCUCCAAGAGCUGCGUGGGGAAAAAUGCUUAGUUUUUACUUCAUCUGUGGAAUCAAGUCACAGACUGAGCACCUUGCUGGAGUUUUUUGAAGACUUACCCUUUAAGUUUAGUGAAUAUUCACGUUUGCAGCGUGAAUCUACUCGGAGGAAGACAUUGGAUGCCUUCAAGGAAGGAAAGAUAGAUGUUCUAAUUGGUACAGAUAGAAUGGCUCGGGGAAUUCAUAUUGAUGGCUUAAGAUAUGUUAUCAAUUAUGACAUGCCACCAUAUGUAAAAACAUACAUCCACCGAGCAGGUCGGACUGCUCGAGCUGGCGAAUCUGGUUCUUGCUUCACAUUUUUAAGGAAACAUGAGAUUAAGGCUUUUGACAAAAUGCUCAAGAAGGCAGAUGAUUCUAGCUGCAGUCUUCACUCACUACCAGACGAAUCAGUAGAAACCCUUCGCCCUGUUUUUUCCAGUGCUCUAAAGAAGCUGGAAGAGUCUCUUGAAUCUGAAGCAACAAAGAAAUCUAAGUCGGGAGAUAAAGCUCCUAAUGUGUCUAAAAGAAAGAGAACCGUCCAUACGUGAAGUAAUAGAUUAGUUGAACUAAGUUAUUCUCCCUAUGAUGUUACAUCUGCAUACAAAGAUUAGGUGAUUCUCGCCCGUGACAAUUCUGCAACUGGCUCAGCAUUCAAUUAUGGAUGUCCAAAACAAGAGAGAGAGAGUAUGAUGUGUCCUGUAAACCAUUUGCCGUCCAAUCUCCAAGCAACUUUCCCCAUGCCUGCAACCUGCUGCUCAUUUUUGGUGCACGGUACAGUGGUUCUCUCCUGCUUUUACACCAGAGAAGGAAUUCGUCUUUCCUUCUGUAGUUAUAAUCAAUCAACUGCUUUUCAUGGCUAAGAAGGAAUCUACCACAAAGUAAAGUUGGGGUACCUUCACAUCAAUGUACCGGCACCUGCUAACCUUUUAGUUAUGCUUUACACUUGAAAUAUCCAUUACUGUCUCUGUCAGUAAUGCAGUUUGUUACUCCAUUUUCUAGUGACAUUGAGAUGCCAAAUUUCAGACAGAGGCUGAGAAUCCCUUUGGCCUUUGUUGGUUUCAUUUUUCCUUUUGCGACUAUUUUGUGGCUUAUUAUUCUCUACAACAGCCAUAGAUUAUUUUUCA